UAGCGAACCCUAGCGCUCUCCGAUCCCUCCCACCUCCCCUCCCCUCGCCGCCACCCACCCCUCCCAUCGCUCUCCAAGAUCCAGCGUGCUCCAAGAUACCCACUCUCUGCUCCUCCCUCCCUCCCCUCCGGCAAGAUCCACCCCGCGGCCUUCCUCUCCUCAAUCCCCAAUACGGCUACAGAGAUGGCUGCUCCCGCGCCGGCCUUCUUCCUCACCCCUGAUGCCGCUGCUGUCUCCUCUCCGGUGAGUGCGGAGGAGCCACCGCGGUCGAGGCAGCCGCCGGCUGGAGCCCCGCCUCGUCUCCUCUCCGGUCGCCGUGGAGGUCCGCCGCGUCCAACCUCCUCGACGGCGCCCGGAACCCUAGGCGGCCCAUCUCUUCCAACCAUGGCCAUGGCCAUGGCGAGCCUGCAAGAUGUGCAGUAGCAGAUAUUGAUUUCCCAGCCCGCCUGACGGCCCGCUCUCCUCGCCCCCACGCAGAUCUUCGAGUACAACGGCUCCGCACCCUGCAGCCACCGGUUCGGGACGAGCGCAGCGCUGGUUCGGGUGUCCUGCGCCAACCAGAGCGCGCCCCAGGUGCUCGACAGAACGCCCACUGCACCGCCUGGUCUCAACUUUCUUUCCAUUUGCCAAGCUGAGGGAGAGGGCUAGGGGCUCGGGUGGUGGAGUGGCUGUAAGAAUAUGCUCGCUCCCUCCUCCCCUCAGAUCCACUAGCGUGUUGGUUGGAAUCAGUGGAUAUUCACAUGAUGUAUACACGGAACUGCAGCUUCACAUCUUUGUCCUGAAUCAUAAUGAGUAUCUUUUCUCGCCAUCGAUUUCUGCACGUAUGGUUCAGCUGGCAUGUCUAGAUCUACAUGUUCACCUGGCUUAUGGUGCAUCUCAAUCAUGGAUGAAAAAAUGUCAAAAUCCUAGCUUAUAGACACUGUACUAAUGUGGGUGGAUACAAUUUCAGAAGAUGAAACUUCAAUAAAAUGAAAAGGCAAAAUUAUAUUGAUUGUUGUCUUCCAUACUUUUCCUGAAUCAUAGUGCUGAACUUUUCUUUUGAUUUAUGUGUCUUUAUUUAAGUUAGCUCAUCAUGAGCUAUAGGUUCAGCUGGUUUGUUUGUUGGAUGCCAGGUCUUUCUCGUCAUUUUUGACAACCUUUUGAUUUGUAUCUUGAGCCACAUUUUCUACUUCUUGUCUUUUCAAUGUGAGAAUACCAGACACGAAAUGAUGCAUAUGCACUAUGAUACCUGGAUCACUUUAAAUUCAGGAUUAUUCAUGGCUAAUUCAGGAUUGAAGCAGGGGAAACCCCCCUCCUCCAUAUUGCCUGUUGAUUAUUUGGGGAUGUCUGUGGAGAGAGAUGCUGAUACUUCUAUAGGCCUAUCACUUUAAAUUUUAUUACAACCAGUUUUAUGCCUAGAACAAUCAUGGUGUCUAGUUUCCGCUUUAUGCCCCACGUUUUACUAGCUGCAAGCUCAGCUUUGUGCUCUGUAGGAACUAAGUACAUCAUUAUUUAGGCGUGUUCUGAUAAUUGUGAAGAAUAAAGGUGUCUUCUGAUGUGGUGGUGCCAAACAAAACUUUUAUGCUUAUGCUGAGCUUACUUUUAAUAUUGUGAACAUGACAAUUUAUAGGCUGUACUGAAGUUCCACUCCUUUUAUUCUGUGUGCUGAGCUUACCUUUGUAUGUCAGGAUUUUUUCUUCAUCUAUUACCCUUCCUUUGGCUGUAGUUUAUCUUCAUACAUAAACCAAUCUUGGUGUUCUUCCUACUUGCAUUUGAUUAUGUUUUUAAAAUUCCCUAGCACAACUAUAUACGACAAUGUGUUUUUUUUUCUGUUUUCAGUGUCUAUAGUGCAUUUGCAUGAUCUUGAAUUAUGUGCUACAGAAUAUAAUUAGCUGAUUUAAACUGCUGUUUUCCUUCGCCUAAUCAAAUGCCCUUUGUUUUCUCAGUAUGCAUACCCAAGUCAAGCUUGCGGUCAUGAUGAAGGUGCUGAUCUGGGUUUCCUAUCUUCAGAAGUAAAAUGUUUGCUUGCUACCUUCUUUAUGAUGAUGUACUUCAUUCGUGUUCCAUCGUGGGAUCCAGGACAAAGAAGUCGGGAGAAUCAUAGACUUCUAGCUCAUUGGAGCUAGUUAUACUUCGAUAGCUAGUUAUUUUUUUAUUCUUUAGUUGUGUUACCUGAUGCAGACUAUUUCUGAUUGUAAACCUGAUGUGAACCAUGUUUGAUCGCAAUGUGCCAGGUUUGGCUCUGUUUGAUUGUAUUCAUGAUUUGAACCAUGUUUUCAUGAUAUUUAGUUAUGCUCUGUUUGAAGCAUUGUGUAAA